rnacentral:tmRNA from 1 species
GGGGGUGCCCUGGUUUCGACGGGCCAACUGACGGAUUGUCGGGCGUGUCCAGGUUGAUCUCCAAGGUCCUGGUUAAAAGGAGAUCAAACAAUAAUUGCAGAAUCUAAUUUUGCUCCAGCUAUGGCCGCUUAAUUUUUUAAACCGCCGUUUAAAUAGCUUGAGGGGUUAGCACCCGAUAAACAGAAGCUAACACAGCAGUGGUGACAACUGCCUAACUUGUCGCGAAGGAGUGGCCGUUAAUACCUUCUGAAAAAAUAUGCGGGGGUUGUCGCGUACGCAUCAUGCGAAUAGUCCCGUUCCUGGACAAGAACUCAGGAACUACGCACGUAGGCCGCUUUUUUGAUGUUGGUUCGGACGCGGGUUCGAUUCCCGCCACCUCCACCA